rnacentral:rRNA from 1 species
GACAGAGGGGGCAAGCGUUGCUCGGAAUCACUGGGCGUAAAGGGCGCGUAGGCGGGAUGGCAAGUCGGUCGUGAAAUCCUUCGGCUCAACCGAAGAACGUCGGCCGAUACUGCCGUUCUUGAGGGAUGCAGAGGAGAUUGGAAUUCCCGGUGUAGCGGUGAAAUGUGUAGAGAUCGGGAGGAACACCAGAGGCGAAGGCGGCGACCUGGACAGGCACUGACACUCAACUACGAAAGCGUGGGGAGCAAACAGG